ensembl:processed_transcript zgc:162952 zgc:162952
CGCUUUAAACCCUGUCGAGCAGCUGAAGGAGGGUGUUUCAGUGAGUGUUUGAGGACAGUCAGCUUGAGUGACUGACGGUAAAUGGAGUCCAUCCAAGAAGCGCAGUAGAAGCGAUGCCACCGGUUUGUCUCCGACUAGAACUUGUUUAUGGUUUAUAGUCGAUACUAUUUGAUCGGUCAGCAAUCAAUCAACAGCAGCAGCGGAGGUGAAAACACCGGGGUGCUUUCUGCUCUUCUGUCAUAUAGGCACUUCCCAGUUUGUCUGUGUUUUGAGUUCAGACGGACCUCCCCUCCACCCACACCAAGAUGCACAUGAAUAGCUUAUUAAACCAGUGCACGGAGAUCUCCAGGAUGUGUGAAGUGGACGUUUCGUCUGAGCCCACGAGCCCGACACUCUGCAAUGAGUCUUCUGACACGUACUGCCAUGUGGACCGCUGGCAGAAAUUGCGCACUGCUGUCCGCAAGCUGGAGUUCUGGGAGAACUUCACACAUGAGCUGAUUGGCAGUGGAUUCUUCUCGAAGGUCUACAAGGUGAUCCACAACACCACACGGAAGGUGAUGGUAGUAAAGAUAUAUAAGAAUGAUGUUGAUCAGGACAGCAUUGUACGAGAAAUCAGCCUGCUGCAGAAACUUUCACACCCCAACAUCGUGAGGUAUCUGGGUAUUUGUGUCAAAGAAGACAAGCUGUACCCUAUUCUGGAGUAUGUGAGUGGAGGAUGUCUAGAGGAGCUGUUAGCCAGGCAGGAUGUGCCUUUGUGCUGGAGAGAGAAAGUAGACCUGGCCUCCGACAUCACCAGAGGGAUGAUUUACCUCCACUACAAGAACAUUUACCACAGGGAUCUCAACUCUAAGAACUGUCUAAUAAGGAUGACUGCGAGAGGCAGAGAGGCGCUGGUCACAGAUUUUGGUUUGGCACGAGAGGUUGUUGAGCUUCCAUCAAAGGACCGGAAGCUGUCUCUUGUAGGCUCUGCAUUCUGGAUGGCCCCUGAGAUGCUGCGUGGAGAACCGUAUGACCGCAAGGUGGACGUGUUUUCUUUUGGGAUUGUUUUAUGUGAAAUUCUGGCCAGGAUCCCAGCAGACCCAGAAAUCCUUCCAAGAACGCAGGACUAUGGUCUGGAUGUAUCAGCGUUUAGGAAAAUGGUCAGUGGGUGUCCUCAGCGUCUUUUGGAGCUGGCAGCCAGCUGCUGUCUACUCGACGCAUUCAGAAGACCCUCGUUCACAGAGCUUCAAGAUGAGUUGGGGGAGAUUGCUGAGAGUUUGGAAACUCCUCACUCUGAGCUCACCACAGGCUGACCACCCUAUGCUAUCCCAUCAGCCCCUGCAGUCAGACACACACACAGAUGAAGUUCUGUACAUAGACAUUAGUGCAAUGACAAAAGCAGCAAAACUUUCCGACUGGAUUGUCUGGUCUCUAUUUAUUAUGGACGCUCUGAAAGUGACUACAUGGCCCUACUGUUCGGCACAGCUGUACAUAGCAUAUUCUGUGCAAUAAAUAGUAAUUGUAUAUC